AGAGCGAACGCUGGCGGCAGGCCUAACACAUGCAAGUCGAGCGCCCCGCAAGGGGAGCGGCAGACGGGAGAGUAACACGUGGGAACGUACCCUUCAGUUCGGAACAACCCAGGGAAACUUGGGCUAAUACCGAAUACGUCCGUAAGGAGAAAGAUUUAUCGCUGAAGGAUCGGCCCGCGUCUGAUUAGCUUGUUGGUGAGGUAACGGCUCACCAAGGCGACGAUCAGUAGCUGGUCUGAGAGGAUGAUCAGCCUCACUGGGACUGAGACACGGCCCAGACUCCUACGGGAGGCAGCAGUGGGGAAUAUUGGACAAUGGGCGCAAGCCUGAUCCAGCCAUGCCGCGUGGGUGAUGAAGGCCCUAGGGUUGUAAAGCCCUUUCGGCGGGGAAGAUAAUGACGGUACCCGCAGAAGAAGCCCGGCUAACUUCGUGCCAGCAGCCGC
rnacentral:rRNA from 1 species